AUUGAACGCUGGCGGCAUGCCUUACACAUGCAAGUCGAACGGCAGCGGGGGAGAAGCUUGCUUUUCCUGCCGGCGAGUGGCGAACGGGUGAGUAAUACAUCGGACCGUGCCCUGUAGAGGGGGAUAACUAGUCGAAAGAUUAGCUAAUACCGCCUACGACCUGAGGGUGAAAGUGGGGGACCGCAGGCCUCAUGCUCUAGGAGCGGCCGAUGUCUGAUUAGCUAGUUGGUGGGGUAAAGGACUACCAAGGCGACGAUCAGUAGCUGGUCUGAGAGGACGAUCAGCCACACUGGGACUGAGACACGGCCCAGACUCCUACGGGAGGCAGCAGUGGGGAAUUUUGGACAAUGGGCGAAAGCCUGAUCCAGCAAUGCCGCGUGUGUGAAGAAGGCCUUCGGGUUGUAAAGCACUUUUGUCCGGAAAGAAAUGGCUCUGGUUAAUACCUGGGGUCGAUGACGGUACCGGAAGAAUAAGGACCGGCUAACUACGUGCCAGCCGCCGCGGUAA
rnacentral:rRNA from 1 species